rnacentral:lncRNA from 1 species
GGCUGAUUGUUCUGCUUCAGAAAGUCCCGAGAUUGUCUUCCGAGCCCCAAAGAGAGGCCUUCAGCCGGGCUCAUGGUGAGAUCACAAGGAUUCAUUUUAUUAAUGUAGACGUGGUUUAGUAUUUAAGUGCAAAACAGAGGGGUUCAUACAUUGAAAAAGUUGAAAACGUUCCCAGUAGCUUUCAAAGCAUUCAGAAAAUGAUUUCAACGUGGUAGGCUUGGGACAGAGGGUUACCAAGGAACAAAGGCUGUAUUCUGCUUUGUAAUUAUGUCCUAAAGCUCUCCAUCAAGGUACUCAGCACCAGCUUCCUUGUGCAUGGCAGCAGAGAUCCAUCUGCCCCACAAUAGCCUUUCUGGCAUCCAUCCAGCUGAGAGUACAUUAAAUGGCCCAUUGAGCACUCAACUACUACAGUAACUAAUGGACCCAAGGAGGUGGCAGUUCAUAAUAUCCACACUUUUUUCAGUGGAACAAGCUCAGCAUUAAUUUCCCUGUCAAUAUGAGUGGCCAGAAUCCCUGGAUCUCAAGGACUCACAGCUGGCUGAGAUUUAACCUGAACAAAUCUCUAUGAACAGCAGCCAUCCAGCUUUAGUAUCACAUCAGUGGGGAUGCAUUGUAAAGCUCAGCUGCACCUCCUAAUAAACAAGGAGUUGGAACACCCAAUAUGUCCCAUGUCCACGACCAACAGCUUCCAGACCAACAGCUUCCAGCCAGAAUUGCUUGGUGAUGUGAAUCUAAGAGCAAGUAGAUGUUGUUAAGAAAAGGAUUCAAGAUAAUUGGGGAAAGACUCAUGCUGUUCACAAA